AUGAGGUUGACAUUUGGAAUUUUGAGUUUUCUCGAUUUCUCUUGCAGAUGCCAGUGCAACUGGAGCCGAAAAGCUGAGAGCUUAUUACACAGAAACAGCGUAUACAGAAACCGCUACAGAACAGCUUUCAUGUCGCUACAACUGUGGUUACGACAUGGGAAGCUGCUCCUGCACAAGCCACUGUGNNNNNNNNNNAAUACUAUGGCAACUGUUGCUAUGACUACAGCUCUUAUUGCCAGACGACAACCGGUGAACCUGCAACUGCUCAGCCUUCUUGUCUCUACAACUGUGGCAGUCACCUAGGAAGCUGCUCCUGUUCAAGCUCUUGCCAAUACUAUGGCAACUGUUGCUAUGACUACAGCUGUAAGCACCAAUUUACU
rnacentral:lncRNA from 1 species